rnacentral:tRNA from 1 species
GGGCGAUUAGCUCAGAUGGUUAGAGUACUUGCUUGACAUGCAAGGAGUCACUGGUUCAAUUCCAGUAUCGCCCACCA